GAUGAAGAACGUAGCGAAAUGCGAUACGUAGUGUGAAUUGCAGAAUUCAGUGAAUCAUCGAAUCUUUGAACGCACAUUGCGCCCGCCAGUAUUCUGGCGGGCAUGCCUGUUCGAGCGUCAUUUCAACCAUCAAGCCCCAGGCUUGUGUUGGGGACCUGCGGCUGCCGCAGGCCCUGAAAACCAGUGGCGGGCUCGCUGUCACACCGGGCGUAGUAGAUUUUAUCUCGCUCAGGGCGUGCUGCGGGUUCCGGCCGUUAAAAAGCCUUUUUUACCCAAGGUUGACCUCGGAUCAGGUAGGAAUACCCGCUGAACUUAAGCAUAUCAAUAAGCGGAGGA
rnacentral:misc_RNA from 1 species